GACGAACGCUGGCGGCGUGCUUAACACAUGCAAGUCGAACGGAAAGGCCCUGCUUUUGUGGGGUUCUCGAGUGGCGAACGGGUGAGUAACACGUGAGUAACCUGCCCUUGACUUUGGGAUAACUUCAGGAAACUGGGGCUAAUACCGUAUAGGAGCUCCUGCUGCAUGGUGGGGGUUGGAAAGUUUCGGCUGUUGGGGAUGGACUCGCGGCUUAUCAGCUUGUUGGUUGGGUAGUGGCUUACCAAGGCUUUGACGGGUAGCCGGCCUGAGAGGGUGACCGGCGACCUUGGGACUGAGAUACGGCCCAGACUCCUACGGGAGGCAGCAGUGGGGAAUAUUGCACAAUGGGCGGACGCCUGAUGCAGAAACGCUGCGUGCGGGAUGACGGCCUUCGGGUUGUAAACCGCUUUCGCCUGUGACGACGCGUGAGUGACGGUAAUGGGUAAAGAAGCACCGGCUAACUACGUG
rnacentral:rRNA from 1 species